GCUAGCGCUCCCUAGCUAGCUCGCUGUCAUAAAUUAAGGUCAAACCCAUAACACUACAUACACACCACAAGCUUCUUCUUCUUCUCCGUAUUCCUCUACCGAAUGCUAAAGCAUUCUUCCUGCAGUUACACCACUCCUUUGCUUUACACUUUUUGAUCUUCCAACUCUCUCACUCUCCAAAGUAGUACCAACAUUUUAAUACUAAACCCCAUAGCUAGCUAGUGUAAGGAAUCCUCCUCGAUCGAAACUCAUACUGAUAUGCAAACUUGAGCUAGCUCUCUCAACAUCGCACGUGCAGCAGCAAGCUAGGCUAGCUCGUGUCUAGCUACGCUUAGCUCCUAUAUGCUGACAACCCAAAUUCUCUUGGAUGCAUGAUUUAUAUGUAGUACUACGUGCUAGUGUUCUUCAUCUUGCAUGGCUGCAGUACGAUGGGGAUGGCCGACUCCACCAGGGAGCGUACGAGUAAUUUCCCACAUGCCAACAGUUCAAGGGAAAGGGAUGGGACGUCGCACUACUGUACGGAAUUUUCCACAAGAAGACCAGCUGGGCGCCGGAUGAUGGAGGCAAAUUACGACAACCGUUCAAAGUCGACCGAUGCAAAUCAUUUUUCUCCACCAGCAAGGCGAAGAAGAAGAUGGCCAUCUCCGUGGCGAGAAAAGAUUUUCAAUGCCAGUGCACACGAAGUUCCUAGUGGUCCUAAUCCCAUAUCAAAUAGGUAAAUUCAACUAAUAAUAAUCAUGUUGUAGAGACUCGUAGUAGCUUGUUACUUAGUUUACGUCGAAUUUGUUCCAUCUUUCUUUUUAUAUAUUAAUAUUUUAAUUUGUUGCAUAUAUAUAGAGCUAGCUUCUUAGUCAGUGCUAGCUAGCUCUCCUACAGUAAGAGAAAGCGAUAUAUCACUACAUUACUUUUAUAUA